GGAUGUAUGUCUGAGCGGUUGAAAGAGUCGGUCUUGAAAAAGUCGGAAGAAGCAAGGGAAGUUGAACUUUCUAUAGUUA
rnacentral:tRNA from 2 species